AACGUGCCCUUCUCUACGGAAUAGCCUCUGGAAACGGAGAGUAAUACCGUAUACGCCCUUUGGGGGAAAGAUUUAUCGGAGAAGGAUCGGCCCGCGUUAGAUUAGGUAGUUGGUGGGGUAACGGCCUACCAAGCCUACGAUCUAUAGCUGGUUUUAGAGGAUGAUCAGCAACACUGGGACUGAGACACGGCCCAGACUCCUACGGGAGGCAGCAGUGGGGAAUCUUAGACAAUGGGGGCAAUCCUGAUCUAGCCAUGCCGCGUGAGUGAUGAAGGCCUUAGGGUCGUAAAGCUCUUUCGCCUGUGAUGAUAAUGACAGUAGCAGGUAAAGAAACCCCGGCUAACUCCGUG
rnacentral:rRNA from 1 species